AUGGGGAAGAAGAGAAAGCAUGGGGAGAACGGGACGACAAGCAAGCCAAGAGAUGAGAUGCCUCUCAAGAGGUCUUCAGAUGCCUCCCCUUAUUCCUUAUCUGACGCGCUCAGGGAGAUUAGUAAACACAUACAGGUAAAAGAGAACACGGAUGAAUCGGUCCAAAAGCUUGAGCAAAGGGUGCAGCAGCUAGAAGACAAGGUAGAAGUGAAGACGGAUGAUUUGGUCCGAGAGCUUCAGAAUAGGGUGGAAAAGCUAGAGGAUAAGGUGGAAACAAAUGAAGUUCAAGAGAAAGAACGGGUAAGCAAAAUUAAGGAAGAUCUCAGGAAAGAGCUGAACGAGUUUAAGGAAGAUCUCAGGAAAGAGCUCAACAACUAUAAGGAAGAGUUAAGGAAUGAAUUGGAAAACAUUGAGAACAGAAGUAGCCAAUGUUUCAGCGUGUUGAAACAAGAUUUCAAGAAAGAGCUAGAAGUGAAGGACGAGCCCAGCUUAGGGAUCCAAGAGGAAGGAUGGGCCAAAGUACAUCAUUUAAAUGAAUCUCCAUCCCUGAGAUCACAACCACAUCAAAGCGAGACAACAAGAUUUAAACUGAAAAUUGAGAAUAAGGUGGAUCAGGUUGUUUACAAAGGGAAACCUAUACGGACUGAUGAUUCUGAACAUAUAACAGUAGUAUUGUACGAUGGUGACAAUCAAAUUGCACCUGAUCAUCACCUUGCCUCAGCAGUAGUUCAGCUAGUUGUCGUUGAUGGAGAGUUUAAUGAACCUGAGGGAUUUUGGUCCAAAGAUGAUUUUGAAAAAAGAAAAACGAUGCCACGACAAGGGAGUAACCCAAACCUAGUGAAGAACGGCAGGUUUAAACUGGCUGGUGGGAAGUGUCGUCAUAAAGGCGUCAUUAUUACGGACAACUCUAACCGCAGGGAAUUUAUGCUUGGAGUGAUGAUCGUCGGGGAUACAGACGAACGAGUUCUUGGAGGAUUAUCAAAUACUUUCAGAGUGCAGGAAGCAAAGACAGAAAAGGAUCGUGCAAAGCGUAAUAAUGAUGAUAGCAGAGAGGAUUUACUAAGAUAUACAACCGGACAAGUACACAUGCCUAAUAAAAACGGGCAAGGUCAGCGAUUUAGUCUUCAACAAACAAGGCCAAAUUUACCCAGCAUGGCCAACCCACCAUUUCAUCAAGAAUGUAUGGUUCAGGCAGCGAAUAAGAGGCAUAGUUCAGGUUUAGUGGGUUCUCUUAUGGCCAAUGGUAUACCUCAGCAGGGCACCAAUCAACUGGAAAAUCGUGGGCAAGUUCAGCAAUUUCAAACAACAGGGCAAGGUCAGCACUAUCAAACAGGGUCAGUAGUCAGCUUCAUGGAGAAUCAAUCACAAAUAACAUACGGCCCUACAGCGGGAAAUGGUUCAGUUCGUCCACCUUUCGACAACUUACAGCUGUAUCCUGCUCAACAGAGCGCCCAACUGAAAAAUUAUGGGCAAGGUCGGCAACAUAAUAAUGUUCUACGGCCAAUGUGCACUUUCGCCGUCGGCCCAUCGCAAGGUGGUAAUGGUGUUCAACUGGAAAAUCAUGGAAAUAGUUCGGUUGAGCCAGUUCCGGUGGGCCAUUUACAACAGUACCCUACUCAACAAAGCACCGUGCAGUUGGGUAAUCAUGGACAAGGUCGGCAACGUAAUAGUGGUAUGCCAACAACACAAGUCAAUUCCGUUUUCAUGUCGAACCUGCCGCAACAGAACACUACUCAACAGGGUGUGCAACCCAAAAGAAAUGAUUCUGUUGAUCCACAUCCGGUCGAGCAUGUACAGCAGUACCCUACUCAACAAGGCAUCAAUCAACAGGAAAAUUGUGGUCGGCAGCAUCAUAGUGUUACUCGACCUUUCACAUUCGCUCACGAAGCAGCAGGAAAUGGUGCAGGCCGUGAACUUGUAGUAGAGCGUGUACCACAACAGAACGCUACUCAACAGGGUGUUCAAGUGGAUAUUCAUGGGCAAAGUCGGCAACAUAAUUCUGUUACACAAACUUUCGCCGUCCUGCCGUCGCAAACACUCGCUAACGCAGCAGCAGGAAAUGGUGCAGGCGGUGAACUUGUAGUUGAGGAUAUAUUGCAACAGAACACUACUCAACAGGGUGUUCAACUGGAUAAUCAUAGAUCGGAUCUGGGGUUGGGUCUCGGUUUAUCAACUCACAAUAUCCCUACCGGCCCUUCUGCUGGCGAUUUGCAUGACAACUAUAUGGAUGAGACUCUGCGCCACCUCCAUGAUAAUCUACUCGCCCCUGAUGACCCCGGAUACCUUGGACUUCUCAGCCAUGCAGAGGCAGCCGAUCAGGGAGGGCCUUCUGCAGGCACUCGACAAUGGAGCACCAACCAGCUGCAUGCUGGUUAUUCUGCUGGCAUGCACUUGUCCGGGUUUCGCCCUCAAACUGAAGAUGGUGGAUCUACUGUCUCUGGUCUACGUACUGCUGCACCAGCUCCAGAGGGCACCCAGAUGGAUUUCACCCAGCCUACGGUUAUGGCACCAUGGGAGCCAUGA
rnacentral:rRNA from 1 species